ensembl:lncRNA
AGACACCACCUCAAAAGAAGACGCCACAGACAGUCAGUCUGAUGAAAGUCCACUGGAGGAAAUGAAAGAAGACAAGCAGGAAGACAAACCUGAGUCUGACAGCUCCAGUCUGGACUCAAAUUCAGACUCGGACACUGACAGUAAAGAUAAAGAGCAGGACAAAGAGAAGAAGAGCACAGAGUCCACAGACACAGAAAGCUCUGAUAGCGACACAGACAGCUCAGAAACAGGAGGGGAAGGUAAACAUUCAAGCCUUCACAUUUUACACUCAUUAAAGCACAAUAUCAAUCGACUGAAUAAUGCUGUUACACCUCCAGAUACUGAUGAAGACAAUGACUCCAGCAUGGAAAAGGAGAAACAAGAGUCUCCUGAUGGUGCAUCAAUAGAGACAAAUGAAUCUGACUCCAGCGACGACCAUGACAAUCACUCGACAGAUGUUACAACAUCAAACGAGGAACACACUGAUGCAGACAGCCAUGAUGCUGCAGACGAUGAUGACGACACUGAUGCCCAUGAUGAUGAAGUCAGGGUUGGAGAUGGCAUAGACACUGCUUCUAAAAAACACGAUGAACCAGAUCAUCUUGAUGACACAACACAAGGAUCAGAUGACGGCAGCAAAACCCCUAUGCCAAGCUCCUAGCGACCAGGACUCUACAAAAACACUGUAACAGGUAUCACAUAAUCACCGAUUAAAAGCUUUACAUAGGCCUUACUUUAAGUUUAUAAAGACAACAUAUUUCAAAUUUCUAUUCUUACAGUUGUCUGUCUCUUACCCAGUCUCUGAUUACUUCAUCUGCUGUCUUAAAUGAUACUAUGGAAACUAAUCAUACUUAUAACUUUAUUUGAUUUUUCACAUUUUUAUAUUGCAGUCUCCUGAACAAUGAAUGUACAUUAAUUGUACAUUCAAGGCAAUUAUAGCAUAUCAGUGGUAUCAAAUUAAAUUCUAAGACAAACAAUAAUAAUAAAGGGUAAAUCAGCAUAUUCA